CACACAGCUGUCAGAUGGCUCAGCCUGGGGAAAGUGCUGAAGAGGGUUUGGGACUUGAAAGCAGAGAUUCAGGAUCUCUGCUGGAUUUCUACUCUUCUCUUAAGGAGGAUUUUCCAAACCUGAGGAGACAUGCUCAGAAGAUGUUGGUUUUCUUCGGCUCUACCUACAUUUGUGAACAAACAUUUUCAAUGAUGAAGUUUACAAAAUCCAGGUAAAGAUCCUCUCUCACUGAUGAUCAUUUGUCAGCUGUGCUUCGCAUCUCCACCUCAGACAUUCAACCUGACUGAUGCACUCGUUAAAGCCCAGCAGAGACUAGAUUUCUCUCAUUGAAUAAGAAAAAAAUCACUUAAAAACACAAAAUAAGGUGUUUGGACCACAAAUGUAGGCAACUAGCAGUGAACUGGGACACUUUUUUUUAAACCUCUUUCUCAAGAUCACAGUUCAGUGAUUUUAUUUUACAGACAAUACUGUGUGUCUGUAGAACGCUAAGAACCUCUUUCCAACAAUAUUUGAAACUCAAAAUGUGUUUUGGAGUGAAUGUGACUAAAACUGUUAACUAAUAUAAGUCACAAAUGUUUAACAAAAACCAAAUGCGCACUUUGUUUACCAUUGCCUUGGGAAAUUUGAAUAAAUCACAUUUUUGUAAGCCAACCUCACUUUUUCCUUUUUGCUCAUUUAUAACAUAUAGUCUACUCUUACCAGCUUGAAAAAACAAUGGUAUUUACUGCUUUUUAUAAAGAAAUACCACUAAUAUUAUGCAUAAUUGACUUCAGCCUUUUGGCCUGGCCCUCCACAAUAUUUUCUAUUUCUCAUGUGGCCCCAUGGAAAAAAUAAUUGCCCACCCCUGCUCUAAUGGAAGGUGGGAAUUUGCUGUCAGCAGUGGGUGUGUUGGCCCUGGUCGGCCUGAAGCAGACCCCCUCGAGAAGAGGGCUGAGAAUGAGCCUUGGUUGGCCCGGAAAAAUACCAGGCCACCCAGAUAUGUAAACAACCUACGCUACCCAGCCCGGGCCGACCCGGUACAGAUGGGAAUGGCCCGUUACUCUCCACGUGAUCAUGACCCCAUCCUUUGUUGCACCAAGGUACAAUCGCCGAUUAUAAGACAGACAAUUACCGCAAUAUUACUACCGAGCAAGGUGGAACAAAUGCAGAAAUUUCCGCGCAACGUCAUGCCAGCAUGGCGUGUUCAUAAGACACACCCUUGUUGUAAUAUUACGCUGAUUUGCCAGCACGGUGUGUAAAAAGGGCAACAGGCAGCGUUACAACAAAAUGUCAGCACCAAAGCUGAAUGUAUUCAUGUGCCUGAGACAUUAUUCUCACCUUAUUUUUUCAAUUUGAAAGGAGAAAAGUGUCCUCACUGCAUUUUAUUAAACACUCACAAAGGAAUGAAUUUAACCAGUGUGAAAUGUGUCGCAUUAAUUCUUUUGUGCAAAUGUAAAUGUGAGCCUGGGAUUCUCCAACUCCGAUUGCUCUGUUGUCUCUUAAAAGAGAAACACUUUAACAUGAAGUAAACCUUCUGGCUCUGAGCAGUGUAAAACUCCUUCUGCUGCGUGACAACAAACACCUAAGCCCUCGAUGCCAGAUCUGUAAAAUUAAUCGGUCUGGUACAGUUAGGGGGAUGUUGUUUUGAACUGUAAUAGAUUUCAAGAGUCCACUGGAUCUUAGGUUUUAUUUUUACAGUGUAAUGAGCAGAAACAGGAGCCUUUCUCAUGGAUACUCUGCUUAGAAAAAAAUGAAAAGGGGGGGGGGGUGUUCACUUUCAUUAUGUUUUAAAGGAGACAUAACAUGAAAAACCCACUUUUUUAUCCAUUAACACAGUGUGUUUCACAUUUUAAGUGUCUAAGUGAGCAAAAAGGCUUAUAUUAUUCACUGGAGUUGCUAUUUAGAUAUUUAAUAAUUAAGUUUUGGGCAUAUUUGUCCACCCGUUCAGUUUUUCACAUUAUCUAUUACAUCAGUAAUUUAUUUCGUCAGGAUAACUACCAAAUAUGGUAAUGGCCCUCGGCUAAACACAGAGCCAAUCUGCCAUUUUUUCUUCUCGCUAAGAUUUUUUGUAGUCCUAUUGGAAAAAUGCAGAAUGUCUGGUUAUUUUAGCCACACACAGCUCAAAACUGUUCCUCGUUUUAAGGAAGGGUGGUGUGGCAGUAUUUAAACCCAGGAGCUGAUGACACUACUGCUAAAAAAACACAGAAGAAAAAGUAGUGUGUUUGUGUUUGUUUGUGUGUGUGUGUGUGUGUGUGUGUGUGUGUGUGUGUGUGUGUGUGUGUGUGUGUGUGUGUGUGUGUGUGUGCGUGCGUGCGUGGUUCGUUCGUUCUGUCUCCAGGCUAGUGGCUAAGUACUGAGGGCUCCAUCUGAAUUUGGCAGCACCGGGACACAGCAGCAGAGCGAGUCAACAUCCAGAAGUCUGGAGCCGUGUUUCACUGACAGGCUGUCAGACUAACGCCCUGAUGAGCUCAGCAGGGACAAACUGGUCUGAUGUUUAGGAACACAGAACGUUCAGAUGUUGGCGUUUCACGUCACCUACUGAGGAAGGAGGCUCACCAGUAAAGAGAUGGUAGCUGGACCAGACCAAAAAUAUGGCGAUGACAUCAUGGAACUGGUCUUUGGAAAAGUUUUCCCUGAACCAACUCCGUUUCUAGAUGAGGUAGAGAAGAUCUGCAUCUCACCAACCCUCUGGUCUCAGUAUUCAGACAACGGAGGUCUCCCACUGUUAUCCAGGACCAGUUUGAAGCCCACAUACUGCCCCUCCCUCAUCAUCAGGAAACAUCAAUCCGUUUCCUGAGGACAACAGAAGACGGCAGGAGGACAGGAACUCUGUGACCUAGAUACCACCAGCACCGAGACACAAAGCACCUGUGUGCACAACGCCUGUUUAACUACUAAAGCCUGUUUAUUAUAUUGUUCUACUUAUUUGCUGUGAGGUUAAUACUUAGAAAAUUUGUAUAUUAAUGUAAACAAUAAAAAAAAUCACUGAUUGUAUGUUUUCUUUUAGAUGUAAUGGUCCAAACUCAGCCUUGUAGACAUUUAUUGCAUCCUGU